GGUAUGCUUAACACAUGCAAGUCGAACGGUGCUUUAGGGCACAGUGGCGGACGGGUGAGUAACGCGUGAGAAUCUGGCUCUAGGUCUGGGACAACCACUGGAAACGGUGGCUAAUACCGGAUGUGCCGAGAGGUGAAAGGUUAACUGCCUGGAGAUGAGCUCGCGUCUGAUUAGCUAGUAGGUGUGGUAAGAGCGCACCUAGGCGACGAUCAGUAGCUGGUCUGAGAGGACGAUCAGCCACACUGGGACUGAGACACGGCCCAGACUCCUACGGGAGGCAGCAGUGGGGAAUUUUCCGCAAUGGGCGAAAGCCUGACGGAGCAAUACCGCGUGAGGGAGGAAGGCUCUUGGGUCGUAAACCUCUUUUCUCAGGGAAGAAAAAAAUGACGGUACCUGAGGAAUAAGCAUCGGCUAACUCCGUGCCAGCAGCCGCGGUAAUACGGAGGAUGCAAGCGUUAUCCGGAAUGAUUGGGCGUAAAGCGUCCGCAGGUGGCUAUGUAAGUCUGCUGUUAAAGAGUCUAGCUCAACUAGAUAAGAGCAGUGGAAACUACAAGGCUAGAGUACGUUCGGGGCAGAGGGAAUUCCUGGUGUAGCGGUGAAAUGCGUAGAGAUCAGGAAGAACACCGGUGGCGAAGGCGCUCUGCUAGGCCGUAACUGACACUGAGGGACGAAAGCUAGGGGAGCGAAUGGGAUUAGAUAC
rnacentral:rRNA from 1 species